rnacentral:rRNA from 1 species
GGACUCCUACGGGGCGCAGCAGUGAGGAAUAUUGGUCAAUGGGAGAGAUCCUGAACCAGCCAAGCCGCGUGAGGGAAGACGGCCCUAUGGGUUGUAAACUUCUUUUGUCAAGGGACAAAAUCAGGCUCGAGAGCCUGACCGAGGGUACUUGAAGAAAAAGCAUCGGCUAACUCCGUGCCAGCAGCCGCGGUAAUACGGAGGAUGCGAGCGUUAUCCGGAUUUAUUGGGUUUAAAGGGUGCGUAGGCGGGCUGUUAAGUCAGCGGUAAAAGCCCGGGGCUCAACCCCGGCGAGCCGUUGAAACUGG